AGCUCAUAUGCAUCUAGAGAUAGAUGCAUACCUAUGCAACCAUUAAUUAUUAAAUUACCCUGAUCCAUGGUAACCUUAUGGUGGACCGAGUCCAUGCAAGCGGAAUUGUAAGAUGUCGCCUCUAAUCAAUCCCUAGUAUUGAUUAUCAACAUUUUAAUUAGAAAACGCCUCAAAGAAACCCAGUAUGAUACAAAGGAAAAAGGCACGCCUUUAUCGGUUUCUUCGUCAUAUUUACACUUAUUGUUGAAACCCUACCUUUCUCCUCCACUGCCGAUUUAUCUCUCCCUUGAGAGGUGCGGCUAAUAAACAAUGGAUGAAUAAUUGGAGUAGUAGUUGGACCUUCAUUGCAUUAGACUAAUCCUCUUCCAGAGCUCGAAUUGUUGGAGCAAGCAAUUGUUUUAGGGUGCUGAUUUAGUUAGGAUUCUCUCCUCCGGCGGCCAAAUCCCACCUCCUCCGACUUUAACGACUACCUCUCCAUCAAUGGCGUCAAGCUCAACGCAUCAACAACUUCCUCAUCUUCGACAACGGAUGUUGAUUUAGUUAGAGUUGAAGUUUAUUGUAAUACCGAAUUAGAUCUCAUCUUGGUCGAGCAAGUGAUAAAUUGAGGAAACAUCAAUCUGACUAUCAGAGGAAGCCUAAACGUAAUUAAGGGAAGUUGAAAAUCAUUUAAAAUUCUAUUUGGGAGUUUGGAACAAAUUCUUAUACUCAAUUGCUCUUGUUAUGAAGACUCUGUUCUGUAGAAACUAGUAAUAAAGCAGGGUACAAAAAAAAAUCAACCUUGCUAAAAUUCAUUAGUUUUUGUUUAGUAUAAAAUCAGAUUAUGUGAAUGAAGUUAUGUUUAGUUUGAUACUGAUUUCAUGUCUCAUAUUUUGAUCGACUUAUGUUUAGUACGAGUAACUAUUUAAGGUUUCUCUAGCUUUUAGUUUAGUUGCGAUGAGUGAUUGAACUGCUAGUCGUGGUAUUAUAGUGUACUUGCUUAUGUGCUUAUUGUUAGCUAACUUUUUUGCUAUUCAUGUUCGUUAAAUUGAUAAGUUGCAAAUGUUCUGAAAACACAAGAACCACAACUGAUUCUUCCGAUUGCUCUUUUUCAUGCUACUACCUUUGGGAUUGGUUACUGGAUAUCCAAACUUCCUUUUGGUGAAUCCACUUCUCAUAAUACUUUUAUAGAAUGUGGAAUGCAGGCAAGUCGCUUCUCCAAAUUUUCUUGAAACUCAACAUAUUCGACAAGUUUUGCUACUUUUUACCUCCAUGAUAUAUGUUUUGUUUUGUAGGGGUCGUAGGGCUACCUAUUCCAUUGGUGGUUUUUUGGUGGGCAUAUGUAUUUAAUACAAUGUUUAUGGGAAUAUGUUACAUAACAUGAAAACUGCAUUGACGCCCUAAACAUGCUUUGACCCCCCCCCGUGUAUGAACGUAUGUUAACUAGCCUUUAGCCAAACUUAAUUUGUCUUUUUAUGUAACUUAUUUGCUGUUUGAAUUACUUUGUACCUAUUUUAGUUUUGAAUUAAGCUAGGAUUAAGGAAAAUAACCAGGAUAAUUCUGAGUUCUAAGAACUAAUGAGUAAUGACCUAUGAAAUGGAUGCAUUGGCCCUAAUUUAAUCCGAACCACUGCUCAAAGUGCUGAACUAAAAUUAAUUUCUAAGGUGAAAAGAAUAAAACAUAAUUUAGUUAAUAUUUCUACAUGCAUGUUGCUGCAGAGUGUUGCACUCGGGUUUUUGUUGGCUCGAAACAUUUAAUGAUCCUAAUUGUUGCCAUCCCUUCAGUUGUGAGCGUGCUUUUCAUGGCGGUUAUGAGUUUUAGUUUUGAAUAUCUCGCUUAAAUUUCAUGUCUUUUCGAACAUGUACAGUCCAGUUACAGUCUUGCAGACAUCAAACUGAACCACUGCUCCCUUCUUUUGUCCUUUGCAGCUCGGUGGUAGUUCUCUUGUUGUUUAUUGGAGAACCAUGGGUCCAUGCAUAUCCCUGUUGAUGACACAAAUGAUUUCAAGGGAUAGAAAAAUCUCGCUUAUGUGCUUAUAUCUUAUAAGUAAUUCAACAUGUGAUGUUUGGAUUUGGCAGCAUAGGGUUUUUGUAAAGAUGCAUUUUGCCGGUGAUAUUUUAUGUUUUUGUUAAUUUAGAUGGUGCUAGUCAGUAGCUUAUCCAUUUGAUAGCGGUAAGUGGAAUUUGAGGGAUUUAGAGUUUUUAGAAUUGACUGAUAUAGCAACAAAAAGCAAUGGAUUUUGACAAAAAUGCAUUUACAUUUUUUGUUGCAUAAACUUUAAACAAUUUGGUGUUGUGUUAUGGGGCAUUUCUGUCUAUUAUUUAAUUUGCCUGGGAUUUUUCUCUGA